rnacentral:rRNA from 1 species
CCUACGGGAGGCAGCAGUGGGGGAUAUUGCACAAUGGGGGGAACCCUGAUGCAGCGACGCCGCGUGGGUGAAGAAGGGCCUCGGCGCGUAAAGCCCUGUCAGCAGGGAAGAAAAUGACGGUACCUGAAGAAGAAGCCACGGCUAACGACGUGCCAGCAGCCGCGGUAAUACGGAGGGGGCAAGCGUUAGCCGGAUUGACUGGGUGGAAAGGGGGCGGAGACGGCGUUGCAAGCCAGGAGUGAAAGCCCGGGGCCCCACCCCGGGACUGCUCUUGGAACUGCGUGGCUGGAGUGCAGGAGGGGCAGGCGGAAUUCCUGGUGUAGCGGUGAAAUGCGUAGAUAUCAGGAGGAACACCGGUGGCGAAGGCGGCCUGCUGGACUGCAACUGACGUUGAGGCCCGAAAGCGUGGGGAGCAAACAGGAUUAGAUACCCGGGUAGUC